rnacentral:siRNA from 1 species
GGUUGAUUACGAACAGUUCAUGC